rnacentral:rRNA from 1 species
GGGCCGGCCAACCUGUGUGCCAGCCGCCGCGGCUAAACCAAGGACCCAAAUUGAUAAACUUCGGCGUUAAGCGUGAUAUUAAGCCCCAUCAACAAACUAAAGCUAACCAGAGAUCCAGUUGUAAUAAGCUUAUCUCAUGGAAAACCGUGUGUAAAGACCGCUCUAGCUACUACUCGAAUGCACGACAGCAUGGACACAAACUGGGAUUAGACACCCCACUAUGCCACUAGCCGUAAACUUAACCUACACCAAUCAACGCCCGGGAAUUACAAGCCACGCUUGAAACCCAAAGGACUUGACGGUGCCCCAUCCAACUAGAGGAGCCUGUUCUAUAAUCGAUAACCCCCGUUUUACCUCACCCUCACUGGCCCUCCCAGCCUGUAUACCUCCGUCGCAAGCUUACCAUAUGAACGUUAAAUAGUAAGCUUAAUUAAUUACCCCUAAACACGUCAGGUCAAGGUGCAGCCCAUGCGAGGGAAAAUAAUGGGCUACAAUUUCUAACUUAGAACAAACUAACAGCCGUGUGAAAUCCCGGCCUAAAGGCGGAUUUAGUAGUAAGAGAAGAGCAGAGAGCCUCUCUUAAACAGGACCUGGGUUGCGUACAAACCGCCCGUCACCCUCUUCAAUAUAUCCUUUUAAAUUUUUAAUAAGAACUAUGCUCAAGAAGAGGCAAGUCGUAACAUGGUAAGUGUACUGGAAGGUGCACUUGGAAUAA